rnacentral:rRNA from 3 species
UUAAAUUGAAGAGUUUGAUCAUGGCUCAGAUUGAACGCUGGCGGCAGGCCUAACACAUGCAAGUCGAACGGUAACAGGAAGCAGCUUGCUGCUUUGCUGACGAGUGGCGGACGGGUGAGUAAUGUCUGGGAAACUGCCUGAUGGAGGGGGAUAACUACUGGAAACGGUGGCUAAUACCGCAUAACGUCGCAAGACCAAAGAGGGGGACCUUCGGGCCUCUUGCCAUCAGAUGUGCCCAGAUGGGAUUAGCUUGUUGGUGAGGUAACGGCUCACCAAGGCGACGAUCCCUAGCUGGUCUGAGAGGAUGACCAGCCACACUGGAACUGAGACACGGUCCAGACUCCUACGGGAGGCAGCAGUGGGGAAUAUUGCACAAUGGGCGCAAGCCUGAUGCAGCCAUGCCGCGUGUAUGAAGAAGGCCUUCGGGUUGUAAAGUACUUUCAGCGGGGAGGAAGGUGUUGUGGUUAAUAACCACAGCAAUUGACGUUACCCGCAGAAGAAGCACCGGCUAACUCCGUGCCAGCAGCCGCGGUAAUACGGAGGGUGCAAGCGUUAAUCGGAAUUACUGGGCGUAAAGCGCACGCAGGCGGUCUGUCAAGUCGGAUGUGAAAUCCCCGGGCUCAACCUGGGAACUGCAUUCGAAACUGGCAGGCUUGAGUCUUGUAGAGGGGGGUAGAAUUCCAGGUGUAGCGGUGAAAUGCGUAGAGAUCUGGAGGAAUACCGGUGGCGAAGGCGGCCCCCUGGACAAAGACUGACGCUCAGGUGCGAAAGCGUGGGGAGCAAACAGGAUUAGAUACCCUGGUAGUCCACGCCGUAAACGAUGUCUACUUGGAGGUUGUGCCCUUGAGGCGUGGCUUCCGGAGCUAACGCGUUAAGUAGACCGCCUGGGGAGUACGGCCGCAAGGUUAAAACUCAAAUGAAUUGACGGGGGCCCGCACAAGCGGUGGAGCAUGUGGUUUAAUUCGAUGCAACGCGAAGAACCUUACCUGGUCUUGACAUCCACGGAAGUUUUCAGAGAUGAGAAUGUGCCUUCGGGAACCGUGAGACAGGUGCUGCAUGGCUGUCGUCAGCUCGUGUUGUGAAAUGUUGGGUUAAGUCCCGCAACGAGCGCAACCCUUAUCCUUUGUUGCCAGCGGUCCGGCCGGGAACUCAAAGGAGACUGCCAGUGAUAAACUGGAGGAAGGUGGGGAUGACGUCAAGUCAUCAUGGCCCUUACGACCAGGGCUACACACGUGCUACAAUGGCGCAUACAAAGAGAAGCGACCUCGCGAGAGCAAGCGGACCUCAUAAAGUGCGUCGUAGUCCGGAUUGGAGUCUGCAACUCGACUCCAUGAAGUCGGAAUCGCUAGUAAUCGUGGAUCAGAAUGCCACGGUGAAUACGUUCCCGGGCCUUGUACACACCGCCCGUCACACCAUGGGAGUGGGUUGCAAAAGAAGUAGGUAGCUUAACCUUCGGGAGGGCGCUUACCACUUUGUGAUUCAUGACUGGGGUGAAGUCGUAACAAGGUAACCGUAGGGGAACCUGCGGUUGGAUCACCUCCUUACCUUAAAGAAGC